AACAAUCUUAAAAUAUUACAAAAGAUCUGUUGAAAGGAGCUCUUGGUAUGCAAUGAUCCGUAUUGAAGAGUAACGGAAGAACGUCUUAUGCUUUAAGAGCAAGUUACAUGAUCUUGCAGCUAGAAGAGUUUUUUUUUACAAUAAUGGACAAUUGGAUUGUGUUCUAGCAGAAAUGUCACAACAUGGCAACAACAACAACAACAACAAGAUCAACAAUAUCAACAACAACAACAACAUGAUCAACAAUAUCAACAACAACAAGAUCAAUAAGAUCAACAACAACAACAACAAGAUCAACAACAAGAUCAAGUGAUUGAGAAAAUCCAAUCACGUUAGGAUCGAAAUUUCGAUCCAUUACAUUGUCACGAUAUCAAAUUGAAUUAUCAAG
rnacentral:lncRNA from 1 species